GGGACAAGAAGACCCUAUAAAUCUUAAUAUUUUAGAGAUAGAGAGUGUAUUUUUGUUUUUAAGAUAUUUGAUUGGGGCGAUAGAAAAAGAUUAAGAAUCUUUUUUUUUAGCCAAUUAGGUUGAUUAGAUGAAUAAGAUACUUUAGGGAUAACAGCGUAAUUAUUUUGGAUAGUUCAUAUAGAUAAAAUAGUUUGCGACCUCGAUGUUG
rnacentral:rRNA from 1 species